ACCCUUAGAUGUUCUGGGCCGCACGCGCGCUACACUGACGAAUGCAACGAGCUUAUAACCUUGGCCGAAAGGUCUGGGUAAUCUCCAAAUUUCGUCGUGAUGGGGAUAGAUUAUUGCAAUUAUUAAUCUUCAACGAGGAAUGCCUAGUAAGCGCAAGUCAUCAGCUUGCGUUGAUUACGUCCCUGCCCUUUGUACACACCGCCCGUCGCUCCUACCGAUUGAAUGGUCCGGUGAAGCGUUCGGACCGUGGCCUUUGGACGGUUCGCCGUCUGUUGGCUGCGGGAAGUUCGUUAAACCCUAUCAUUUAGAGGAAGGAGAAGUCGUAACA
rnacentral:rRNA from 1 species